GACGAACCGUGCGAACGUUGUUCGGAAUCACUGGGCUUAAAGGGCGCGUAGGCGGCUGAUCAAGUCAGGGGUGAAAUCUUUCGGCUCAACCGGAAAAGUGCCUUUGAUACUGGUCAGCUUGAGAGAGGUAGGGGCAUGUGGAACUUCCGGUGGAGCGGUGAAAUGCGUUGAUAUCGGAAGGAACGCCGGUGGCGAAAGCGACGUGCUGGCCCUCUUCUGACGCUGAGGCGCGAAAGCUAGGGGAGCGAACGGG
rnacentral:rRNA from 1 species